CGAGAGCACCACGCAGCCACCGGUUCUUCCCCCACGGCGCCGGAGCACGCCGCGUGGCCAUCUUCUCCGUCGAGGCCGACGGCGGAGAUGGCGAUGCCCCUCGGCGCAUGGGGCUGCUCUGAAUGGUCGAGACGCCCGUCGUUCCGUGGCAUCUGGUUGCUGUUCGCGGGUGGGGAUAUGGCUGUGGGCUGCGGCUAGUGUUCGCUAUAUUUCUCAUUUCUUUCUAGAGAGAUUGUGGCGGCAGCGGCACCACCAUCCUUGUCCAUAUUAGUUCUUGGAUCGGAGCCGUUCUCAGUGGACAACGAAUUUGUGAGGUACAGAAGAAUUAUUGCGCUGCAAUGCCAGUUAUGUGUUGCAGCUCUUCCUCGCAGUAUGUUUACGUCGGAAUUAGGGGUUGAACAGAGUUGCAUCUAUGAGCGUCCACUGCAGAUUCUGCAACGCGCCCCCAAACAAGGAUUGGAAUGGAGAAUUGUCAGCAGAAGGAAUAGUUGCAGAAUUGAUAUUUGGUGAGACAGGAAUAGCAUGGAUAGGGAUUUCCAGGCAUUGCCACGCGCCGCAUACAGUAAGCUUUCUUUGACUUUUUGUUAUUCGGUUUUUUUCUUCCACUAAAGCACACCACCGCUAGCCUCUUUAUAAUGCCACCGUGCAACUUGUUAUAUGUUCUCACAAGAGCUUUGGCUGCAUCAACACCUGCCUACUACAAGGCAGGUAAAAGGAUUCCUCUCUUCUCCUAUCCUGCAAUCCUCUGCCCUGCCUCCCCUGCAGAUCAUGGAGGCUGCUUGGCAGGAGCGUCUCCAUGGUUCUUGAGAGCUGCGAAAGCAGUACAGCAGUAUAAGGAUGGAGGACAAUGGCUGAGCUGAGCUCCUCCUCAUCAAUCAUCAGUUCCCAUGCCUCUCAUGGCCUUCUACCCUGGCUUCCAGUUCCAGAUGGCUCGGUGAGGCGUGGACAGAAACCGGCAAGUCAGAAAUCGGCAAUGGUGAGCUCCUACGGGAGCCUACUCCUUAUUUACCAGUUUUAAGUUUUCCUUCAUGUUGUUCCUCGUUUUCCUUCGUUUCUUCUUUUUAUUUCUUACCUUAAAGUUGUAUCUGGUUAAAGCAGAAGAUUUCAUUAGAAGUCUUGCUUUUUGGAGAUAGUGCUUUUAUGUUUGUUUUGGAAUAUCCUACUUGAAUUGCUCGUGUCCCUCGUAAAGAGCUGUCGUUUCAUGCUACUGUUCUGUAACCUUGUUUGAUCUCCUUUCGAAGGAUACCAUUGUCGUAUUUUUGUCAA